UAGGCAAACCUGGCGAAAGCCAGGGACGCUAAAGCUAUGGGUCUAAGGGCUGUACUAAGUCUAUGAUUGCCAGGCUG
rnacentral:ncRNA from 1 species